AGAUUGAACGCUGGCGGCAUGCCUAACACAUGCAAGUCGAACGGGAGUAGCAAUACUCUAGUGGCGGACGGGUGAGGAAUACGUAGGAAUUUGCCCUUAAGUGGGGGAUAACCCGGGGAAACCCGGAUUAAUACCGCAUGACCUCGAAAGAGCAAAGUGGGGGAUCGCAAGACCUCACGCUUUUGGAGAAGCCUACGUCGGAUUAGCUAGUUGGUGAGGUAAUGGCUCACCAAGGCGACGAUCCGUAACUGGUCUGAGAGGAUGAUCAGUCACACCGGAACUGAGACACGGUCCGGACUCCUACGGGAGCCAGCAGGUGGGGAAUAGUGGACAAGUGGGCGUAAGCCUGAUCCAGCAAUGCCGCGUGUGUGAAGAGGCCGUUCGGUAGUAAGCUACGUUAAGUAGGAAGAAAACUCGACCUA
rnacentral:rRNA from 1 species